GAGUUUGAUGCCUGGCUCAGAACGUACGCUGGCGGCACGCCUAACACAUGCAAGUCGAACGAAGUAGCAAUACUUAGUGGCAGACGGGUGAGUAACAUGUGGGUAUCUGCCCUUUGGCCUGGAAUAACACGAGGAAACUUGUGCUAAUACCGGAUAAGUCUUUACGGAGAAAGCUUUAUGCACCAUUGGAUGAGCCUGCACUUGAUUAGUUUGUUGGUGGGGUAAUGGCCUACCAAGACUGUGAUCAAUAGCUGAUUUGAGAGGAUGAUCAGCCACAUUGGGACUGAGACACGGCCCAAACUCCUACGGGAGGCAGCAGUGGGGAAUCUUGCACAAUGGAGGAAACUCUGAUGCAGCGAUGCCGCGUGAGUGAAGAAGGCCCUUGGGUUGUAAAGCUCUUUCGUCGGGGAAGAAAAUGACUGUACCCGAAUAAGAAGGUCCGGCUAACUUCGUGCCAGCAGCCGCGGUAAUACGAAGGGACCUAGCGUAGUUCGGAAUUACUGGGCUUAAAGAGUUCGUAGGUGGUUGAAAAAGUUGGUGGUGAAAUCCCAGAGCUUAACUCUGGAACUGCCAUCAAAACUUUUCAGCUAGAGUUUGAUAGAGGAAAGCAGAAUUUCUAGUGUAGAGGUGAAAUUCGUAGAUAUUAGAAAGAAUACCAAUUGCGAAGGCAGCUUUCUGGAUCAUUACUGACACUGAGGAACGAAAGCAUGGGUAGCGAAGAGGAUUAGAUACCCUCGUAGUCCAUGCCGUAAACGAUGUGUGUUAGACGUUGGAAAUUUAUUUUCAGUGUCGCAGCGAAAGCGAUAAACACACCGCCUGGGGAGUACGACCGCAAGGUUAAAACUCAAAUGAAUUGACGGGGACCCGCACAAGUAGUGGAGCAUGUGGUUUAAUUCGAAGAUACGCGCAGAACCUUACCAACACUUGACAUGUUCGUCGCGACUCUAAGAGAUUAGAGUUUUCGGUUCGGCCGGACGAAACACAGGUGCUGCAUGGCUGUCGUCAGCUCGUGUCGUGAGAUGUUGGGUUAAGUCCCGCAACGAGCGCAACCCUCACUUUUAGUUGCCAGCAUUAAGUUGGGCACUCUGAAAGAACUGCCAGUGAUAAGCUGGAGGAAGGUGGGGAUGACGUCAAGUCCUCAUGGCCCUUACGUGUUGGGCUACACACGUGCUACAAUGGUAUCUACAACAGGAAGCAAAACGGCAACGUUAAGCAAAUCCCGAAAAGAUACCUCAGUUCGGAUUGCACUCUGCAACUCGAGUGCAUGAAGCUGGAAUUACUAGUAAUCGUGGAUCAGCGUGCCACGGUGAAUGCGUUCCCGGGUCUUGCACUCACCGCCCGU
rnacentral:rRNA from 1 species